UUUUUUUUUUGUAUAGGGGGACUACCCAGACUAUAAAUACAAGUCUUUUAUUAUAAUUGAUUGACUCCCUUCUAUUUUAAUCAGGUAUAUCUUGUAACCAUAAUUUUGUUUUUUAGCUAAAUACACCUCCUGUAUAAUGGUUUGAUGCAAAAUGGAUGGUGAUUUUCUUCAAUUGUUAACAUUAAUAAAAGAAGUUUGCCAACCAAAAUCAUCGUUGCCAACA